UGAUGUAGCCUAGUGGUUAAGGUGUAGGACUUCAGCGCAGGCGACCAAUGUUCGAAUCCUUGGUCAG